GACGGAGGAUGCAAGUGUUAUCCGGAAUCACUGGGCGUAAAGCGUCUGUAGGUGGUUUAAAAAGUCUACUGUUAAAGCUUGAAGCUUAACUUCAAAAAUGUCGUAGAAACUUUUAAACUUGAGUAUGGUAGGGGUAGAGGGAAUUUCCAGUGGAGCGGUGAAAUGCGUAGAUCUUGGAAAGACCACCAAUGGCGAAGGCACUCUACUGGGCCAUAACUGACACUAAGAGACGAAAGCUAGGGGAGCAAAUGGG
rnacentral:rRNA from 1 species